CGGCGGACGGGUGGAGUAACGCGUAGGCAACCUGCCCCACUACAAAGGGAUAGCAUUUGGAAACGAAUAUUAAUACCUUAUGAACUUAACUAGUGCAUGCUAGGUAGGUCAAAGAUUUAUCGGUAUGGAUGGGCCUGCGUCUGAUUAGCUAGUUGGUGAGGUAACGGCUCACCAAGGCGACGAUCAGUAGCCGACCUGAGAGGGUGAACGGCCACAUUGGAACUGAGACACGGUCCAA
rnacentral:rRNA from 1 species